rnacentral:rRNA from 1 species
AUACGUAAGUCCCAAGCGUUACUCGGAAUAAUUGGGUGUAAAGGGUUCGUAGGUGGUUAUGUAAGUUGGAUAUUAAAGACCGGAGCUCAACUCCGUGUUUGUGUUCAAAACUGCAAAACUAGAAUCAGGGAGAGGUAAGCGGAAUUCUUAGUGUAGGGGUGCAAUCCGUAGAUACUAAGAGGAACACCAAAAGCGAAGGCAGCUUACUGGAACUGUUUUGACGCUCAUGAACGAAAGCGUGGGUAGCGAAAAGGAUUAGAAACCCUAGUAGUCC